ACGCACGCUGGCGGCGUGCUUAACACCUGCAAGUCGAACGGAAAGGCCCUGCUUUUGUGGGGUGCUCGAGUGGCGAACGGGUGAGUAACACGUGAGUAACCUGCCCUUGACUUUGGGAUAACUUCAGGAAACUGGGGCUAAUACCGGCUAGGAGCUCCUGCUGCAUGGUGGGGGUUGGAAAGUUUCGGCGGUUGGGGAUGGACUCGCGGCUUAUCAGCUUGUUGGUGGGGUAGUGGCUUACCAAGGCUUUGACGGGUAGCCGGCCUGAGAGGGUGACCGGCCACAUUGGGACUGAGAUACGGCCCAGACUCCUACGGGAGGCAGCAGUGGGGAAUAUUGCACAAUGGGCGGAAGCCUGAUGCAGCAACGCCGCGUGCGGGAUGACGGCCUUCGGGUUGUAAACCGCUUUCGCCUGUGACGAAGCGUGAGUGACGGUAAUGGGUAAAGAAGCACCGGCUAACUACGUG
rnacentral:rRNA from 1 species